AUGUCCUGCUUCCUUGCAACGGAAACAAAUAACUUCCGGCAUGUCUCGAGGCUUCUUGGUGAUGGUGCCUACUCCUUGAGUUCCUUGCUUCCUUUCGAGACAAUCAUUGGCAUAAUGCUCGACGUCCUUACAUUCAAAACAGGUAAUAUGACUCUUGUCCAUCUUUGCAGAAAUUGGGUUGUUCUGAGGGUGUCUUUGUUUUCUCUUCCUGGUUUUCUUCAUUCUGAUCAAACGUUCUAUUCCCCGUGGAUCAAACUCCACUGCUUCUGUCGGGAAGUAUCCCAGAUACUCUUUUCUCUCCUUGGUGCAAUACUAUGA
rnacentral:rRNA from 1 species